rnacentral:rRNA from 1 species
GGAUUAGAUACCCUGGUAGUCCACGCCGUAAACGAUGAAUGCUAGGUGUAGUUUUCAUUCACUGAAUCUGUGCCGGAGUUAACGCAUUAAGCAUUCCGCCUGGGGAGUACGGUCGCAAGACUAAGACUCAAAGGAAUUGACGGGGGCCCGCACAAGCGGUGGAGUAUGUGGUUUAAUUCGACGCAACGCGCAGAACCUUACCCAGCCUUGACAUCCUUGGAACCCUUCCGAAACGUUGGGGUGCCUCCUCACGGAGGAACCAAGUGACAGGUGCUGCAUGGCUGUCGUCAGCUCGUGCCG